rnacentral:rRNA from 1 species
GACGAACGCUGGCGGCGUGCCUAAUACAUGCAAGUAGAACGCUGAAGGAGGAGCUUGCUCUUCUGGAUGAGUUGCGAACGGGUGAGUAACGCGUAGGUAACCUGCCUGGUAGCGGGGGAUAACUAUUGGAAACGAUAGCUAAUACCGCAUAACAGUAGAUGUUGCAUGACAUUUACUUAAAAGGUGCAAUUGCAUCACUACCAGAUGGACCUGCGUUGUAUUAGCUAGUUGGUGGGGUAACGGCUCACCAAGGCGACGAUACAUAGCCGACCUGAGAGGGGGAUCGGCCACACUGGGACUGAGACACGGCCCAGACUCCUACGGGAGGCAGCAGUAGGGAAUCUUCGGCAAUGGACGGAAGGCUGACCGAGCAACGCCGCGUGAGGGAAGAAGGUUGUCGGAUCGUAAAGCUCGGGUGUAAGAGAAGAACGAGUGUGAGAGUGGAAAGUUCACACUGUGACGGUAUCUUACCAGAAAGGGACGGCUAACUACGUG